rnacentral:rRNA from 1 species
AUUAGACUACCCCGUAGUCCUAGCCGUAAACGAUACUCGCUAGGUGUCGGCCACGGUGCGACCGUUGUCGGUGCCGUAGGGAAGCCGUGAAGCGAGCCACCUGGGAAGUACGGCCGCAAGGCUGAAACUUAAAGGAAUUGGCGGGGGAGCACAACAACGGGUGGAGCUUGCGGUUUAAUUGGAUUCAACGCCGGAAAUCUUACCGGGACCGACAGCAACAUGAAGGCCAAGCUGAAGACUUUGCCGGAUUAGCUG